rnacentral:lncRNA from 1 species
GAAGGAAAUUGAGUGUUGGCUACCUGCUCACGUGCCGGGGGCAGAGCCGAGAAGGGAGCCCUGGCCACCCCUCGGCCCCCGCAGCCUGGGAGCCAUGGCCCUUCUUGCUGGGGUGGGUUCUGCCACCACUUUCACACCGCAGACCCAGGCGGGUCUGGGACCUGCUCUGGGCUUGGGGUCCCCUGAAGGUCAGGCGAGGGUGGUGACCUUCUCAUCCUGGGCUGCAAUGACCCGGAGUCUCAGGAUGCUUUCAGGAAGCGUGGCUGUUAUUUAUCGUGCCAUUAUCGCCAACCCCCCCACACACUGCUGAGAAGCCUUGAAACUCUGUAUCAGGCCGUCUGAUAGACACGUCCUCCCAGCCCUUGGGCAGACUCUGCAUCUCUUGAGCCGCAAGUUUCCUGGUUGGCAAACCCGGGUACUGGCCUUAAAGGGGCCCCGCGGUUUGGCCCCAGGGCCUCCCAGGAGGCCGUUUCAGCUCUGCCCUAGCAGGAUGGUCCUGCCUUCCUGCAGGAUGGUUCCAGACCCUUCCCUGUACAAGGCUGGAGCACAAGAGACUGGCCCGCAGUCAGGUUUGGCCGUGCCGAGGGGAGGCGUCCGGAAAGUGUCGGUUAUGUUCUGCAGAUGGAUGUGUCACAAUCUGGAAUCAUCCUUUUAGCGCCCAAAGCAGAGCCUUCAUAUACGUUUUUGUGAUUUGCUGGAAGAUCCCUAAGCCCUUGGCCACCGCCAUCCCCCCUCAUCCCCAGAGGGGCUUGUCUUAUGGGUUGAGGAGAGCUCCCAGCCAGCCCUGCGCUUGGCGAAGCCCAGGGCCUGGCCGGCCUCCCCCCCAACGCCCAGCCAGGCUAUUCUGGAUGCAGCUGCUGGGCACUCCUCUCCCUUCCCCCCUCGGGUCCUGCUCUUGCUCUGAAAUGAUGGGCCUGCCUGCAUGUGGGGAGAAGAGGCACGAGAACUGGGCCAUCUGUGUCCCAGAAGGAAAAUUCCUACCAAGCCCCUUACUGAGCUGACUUGGCAAAGAAGAGCAAAGGUGGCAUUGAGGGUUUGCUGUGCGUGUGGCUCGGCCAGGCCGGGGCUGUGCCCACACUCACACAAGGGGCCCUUCUCGCCCUGUCCCCACAUUUCUUAUCACCUCUUUCUCAUGUGGGUACCCUGAGAAGAUUCUGAGACCAGGGGAGGGCCUUGUGGGCCCUCUGGUCGUCUUCUCCCAUCAUGCCGUUCUGUCUCGAGCGUCAUGUGUCCCCUUGGAGGGACUCGGUGCCGUGGUCCAGGGGUCUGGACGCUUCUGACUGCAUUCCAGCUCUGGGCCAGCACACCCUUCUCGCAACCCCUUGAUAGCUGGGACUAACUUUCAACAGGCCUAAUCCACCUGGAGAAAUUCCAUCUCGCUUUCAUCUGGAACAGCCUUGGACAAUGGAAUGUUCCCAGAAUCGAUGGCAAAUAAAAGGGGAACAAGUAUUCAGGACGAGGAGCCAGCGGAAGAAGAGACCCUCUUGUGCUGGGAACGGGCCUGCUCAGCAGCAGCCCGGGCGGGCGCGGGACAGUGCAGUGUGUUUGGGGUGAGUGGUUUAGCAGAUGUGGGUUGAUUACGCAGCAUUGACCAUUUGGCACGAGAAAGGAGAUGGCAUCCGAGGUGGUGUGAGGGUAACUGUCACCCAGCAGAGACCACAGGACUGGAGCGCGAUGCAUACGGGGGUGGCGGAUGGGCUCUGGGGAAAUACGGGUGCCCGCGUCUGCCGCAAGCUGGGAGACGGAGAUCGUGGGGUGUGCCACUCGGAGGGGGGCGCCCUGGGCCCUGGACUCAGUGUCCUCUCCUGCAUCGUGUGAGGAUCCAGCUGGUGAGAGCACCUAGAGCAGGCCUGCUGUGCAGACGUGCUCAGGACGCGUUGGCUCUGGGACCAGUGCUGUCACCACUGUCAUCAUUAUUCUCUCUUCGACUUAUCCUGGCUUCUGGCCUUGAAGUCCUUGUCAUUAGCUUGCUGGCAGCCCAGGGAGGGAAGCAGUGUGCCCGCCUGGAGGCCUAAGGGAGGCUGGGGGGCUGGAGCGGAGCGUGCGGGAGGGCCAGGGGCUUGUCAUUAAUGAGCUGUGCAGGGUUUUUUUACACGAAGUUUCCAAGAUCAGGGCAUGUCUCAGCCCGGAUUGGCCUCAGUUCCAGUGCUCGGUGCUCCUCACUGUGGCUGGUGGCUCCUGCAGUGGACAGUGCAGCUGCCCAAGGUCACAUGGCAUUAGGUGGCUGAGUGGUCAGCCUUGGGAGCUCAUGGCACAGGCAGGUGGGGGGCUCUGAGGUGUGGACGGAAGGGAUGGGACUCAGCUGUGGUUUAAGGGGCUUGGCUCUGCCACCCAGACCCAGUCCUUCCUGAGGCCCCGGGCAGCAGCUGGUCGGGAGGGGCUGACAAGAGGCCUGCCGUGCCAUGUCGAUGCCGUGGCGCUGCGCUCGCUCUGCCGGGGGACCAGGGAAGAGUGAGCCUGGGAGGCAGGGGCAGGGAAACAUGGGGAUGCUCGAAGGAUCGCUCUGUCACGGACUGGGGACAUCUCGCUGCCCCCCCGUGGAGCAGGUGGGGGUGGGGGGGCCAUUCCUCUGAGAUCUUGCCUUCUCUGGGUGUUUUCUCUCCUGAAGUUGCUGUGCCUGUGCAGCCCUGCUCUGUCCCCUAGGGGCCCAGGGUGGGGCCGGGGGGCGGGGCGCCAGUCGAUGGGGUGAAAUGAGGCGGCCAGGUGGGCCCUUCUCGGGGGUCCAGGUAGAGAUGCUGACACAGGCAGUGUGGUGCCACAAGCCCUGGGUCCCUUCUCUGUGCUGCUGUCUUCGUCUCUGAUGGCUGGGCUGUGCACAUGUCCCCACACGUCCCCUGAGCACACCGCAUGCUCCAGGCUCCGCACAGCUGGCUGGCUGUAGGCCCUGUCCAUUCAGGCAGGUGUGGGAGAGCCCAGGGCAGAUGUGGCUCCAGAGCAGUCCUGUCCCUGGGGCUUGGCAGCCUCCUGACCAUGGUUUUCCUGCACAACUGUGUUCGUGGUUCUAGUUUGUGCCCCCUGCCAGGAGGGACUUGUAGAAAGAUGGGGCCUACAGCUUCAGCCACCUGGGAAGUUCAGACCUGCCCCACCCUUCAUGGGAACCUUCUGGGCCCUCAGACUCCAGGCGGCAACAAUCCUAUGAGCUGGUUCAAAUCAGCAUGCACUGAUUGAGUGCCAGCUGUGUACGAAUGCCUGGACCAGGAGCUCCGAGGAGAGCUGAGGUAAAGGAUCCGUAUCUUUAAGGAGCUUGCAGGCUCUAGAGGGGUCGGAUGAGGGCAGCUGUGUCUGUGCAGCCAGCUGCAAGCUGGAGCGCUAGUCUUGUCCUCUGAGAAUUUGGAUUCAAGUUCUGGACUCACCCCUUCAGCCACAUCUCCCAGCUCCUGCUUGUGCCAGGGCCUCUCUGUGCUGCAGUAGACAGGACAGUCAGCUCCAGACUUCUGGAGGUCACAGCAGUCACACACUGUCACAUAGAAACCUGGGGCAUGUGACCAACGCUCGCAGCUCUGACCUCUGCCCUUGGUCUCCUUACCAUGGUAGUUCCCAUUGUGGCUCAGUGGGUUAAGAACCCAACUAGUAUCCAUGAGGAUGCAGGUUUGAUCCCUGGCCUCGCUCAGUGGGUUAAGGACCCGGCAUUGCCGUGAGCUGUGGUGUAGGUCACAGACACAGCUCGGAUCUGGUAUGGCUGUGAUGUAGGCUGGCAGCUGCAGCUCCGAUUUGACCCCUAGUCUGUGAACUUCCGUAUGCCAUGGGUACG